GACGAACGCUGGCGGCGUGCUUAACACAUGCAAGUCGAACGGAAAGGCCUGCUUUCCCUUGUGGAUUGCGGGUACUCGAGUGGCGAACGGGUGAGUAACACGUGUGUGAUUUGCACCCAACUUGGGUAUAAGACCGGGAACCUGGGUCUAAUUCUCGAUAGAACUGCAGGGUGGUGUAUGUGGUGGCAAACGUUCUUCUAGUGGUUGGGGAUGAGCUCGCGGAGUAUCAGCUUGUUGGUGGGGUAAUGGCCGACCAAGGCGGCGACGGGUAGCCGGCCUGGGAGGGUGGACGACGGCAUUGAGACUGGGAUACGACCCAGACUCCUACGAGAAGCAGCAGUGGGGAAGAUAGCAGAAAAGGCGGAAGGCUGAAGCGGCGACUGAGCGAGGAAGAUCACGGGCUUCGAGUAGUAAACUCCUUUCGACCACGAAAUAGCCACCUGAUUAGACACGUGGUGACGGUAGUUAUAGAAGAAGCACCGGCUAACUACGUG
rnacentral:rRNA from 1 species